rnacentral:rRNA from 1 species
GACGAACGCUGGCGGCGUGCUUAACACAUGCAAGUCGAACGGAAAGGCCCUGCUUUUGUGGGGUGCUCGAGUGGCGAACGGGUGAGUAACACGUGAGUAACCUGCCCUUGACUUUGGGUUAACUUCAGGAAACUGGGGCUAAUACCGGAUAGGAGCUCCUGCUGCAUGGUGGGGGUUGGAAAGUUUCGGCGGUUGGGGAUGGACUCGCGGCUUAUCAGCUUGUUGGUGGGGUAGUGGCUUACCAAGGCUUUGACGGGUAGCCGGCCUGAGAGGGUGACCGGCCACAUUGGGACUGAGAUACGGCCCAGACUCCUACGGGAGGCAGCAGUGGGGAAUAUUGCACAAUGGGCGGAAGCCUGAGGCAGCAACGCCGCGUGCGGGAUGACGGCCUUCGGGUUGUAAACCGCUUUCGCCUGUGACGAAGCGUGAGUGACGGUAAUGGGUAAAGAAGCACCGGCUAACUACGUG